rnacentral:rRNA from 1 species
AUUGAACGCUGGCGGAAUACUUUACACAUGCAAGUCGAACGGCAGCACGGACUUCGGUCUGGUGGCGAGUGGCGAACGGGUGAGUAAUGUAUCGGAACGUGCCCAGUCGUGGGGGAUAACGUUGUGAAAAUUACGCCAAUACCGCAUACGAUCCAUGGAUGAAAGCGGGGGAUCGCAAGACCUCGCGCGAUUGGAGCGGCCGAUAUCAGAUUAGGUAGUUGGUGGGGUAAAGGCCCACCAAGCCAACGAUCUGUAGCUGGUCUGAGAGGACGACCAGCCACACUGGAACUGAGACACGGUCCAGACUCCUACGGGAGGCAGCAGUGGGGAAUUUUGGACAAUGGGCGAAAGCCUGAUCCAGCCAUUCCGCGUGCAGGAUGAAGGCCCUCGGGUUGUAAACUGCUUUUGUACAGAACGAAAAGGUUUCUACUAAUACUAGGAGCUCAUGACGGUACUGUAAGAAUAAGCACCGGCUAACUACGUGCCAGCAGCCGCCGUAA